rnacentral:rRNA from 1 species
GACGAACGCUGGCGGCGUGCCUAAUACAUGCAAGUAGAACGCUGAAGGAGGAGCUUGCCUCUCCGGAUGAGUUGCGAACGGGUGAGUAACGCGUAGGUAACCUGCCUGGUAGCGGGGGAUAACUAUUGGAAACGAUAGCUAAUACCGCAUAAGAGUAGAUGUUGCAUGACAUUUGCUUAAAAGGUGCAAUUGCAUCACUACCAGAUGGACCUGCGUUGUAUUAGCUAGUUGGUGGGGUAACGGCUCACCAAGGCGACGAUACAUAGCCGACCUGAGAGGGUGAUCGGCCACACUGGGACUGAGACACGGCCCAGACUCCUACGGGAGGCAGCAGUAGGGAAUCUUCGGCAAUGGACGGAAGUCUGACCGAGCAACGCCGCGUGAGUGAAGAAGGUUUUCGGAUCGUAAAGCUCUGUUGUAAGAGAAGAACGAGUGUGAGAGUGGAAAGUUCACACUGUGACGGUAUCUACCA